GCGCUUUCCACCCGCCAGGCAGCCGCGACCGCGCCUCCCUCUGCCCAGCCCUCCAGCAGCCCCUAAAUAUUCCCUGGGUGCCCAGGGGGCGGAAACGGACUUUGCAGCGCGCCGUCAGGCCCUGGCCCACCUUCCCGCGCAAAUCGUGCGAGGAGAUGCCUGGACCCGGGUCAGCGCCUCUCGGUCCCGCCGGCCCCGCGCAGCCUAAGGAGCGCAUGCGCGCUCGGGGACGCUGCCCUUGCGCGGGGUGCCUGGGCUGCGGGAGGCAAACGCAGCGGGAAAUCUGCCGGAGGACACUGCCCUCGACACAAGGGUCAGGGAAGGCUUCCUAGGGAUAUUUAAGCAGCGUUCUGGGAGAGGACAGCACAUGUGGACAGAUGGAACCGACGAUGCAAAGGCCAAGAGGGCGACCAUUGGGGGAAGUUGCCAGCAUGAUGUGCCACUCAAGUACUGAGUUCAAGACUUAGCGUGUGUGCAUCGGCCUUAAGGGGAGCCCUGCCUGAUAGUUGAGACAACACUAGAAUCCUAGCAGGCCUGCUCUGUGACCCAGGACAGUCAUUCAUUCCCUCUGAGCCUCACCUCCGGCAUCCUCGCAAUGGCGAGAACAUUCCUUCGCUUGAAGGCUUCUGUAUGCCAGGCACGUGGCGCAUGCGCAGUGAGGGAGCUUUGUCCCACUAGCAUUGCUCAGCCCGGAAACUGAACAGAGGCCUCUAGAAUGUCUCCUGAAACUUGUUCUCUUGGGCUGUGGAUGGAAGUGAGAGAGUGGGGUAGCAGAAGGAUUUUAAGGCUGGGGUUGGGAAGCAUGAGGCCCUGCUCUGGACUUUCCCUGUGACUUCAGGCAAGUCAGGGCCCCUUUGCCCACCUUGGAGGACAGGUGGUGGGCAGGAUGGCUCCUGCGGUCCCCAGGCUGCCUCCAUCAUCCAGUUUCCAGUGGAGUUCCACAGCUCCCCGAAAGCACUGCUCAUUCCCAGGCUCCCGUGACCCCCUCCCUCCAGCUGAUGAAAAUUCAGCGAGCCACCCAUGGUCAUGCAGCAGGCUAUUGGCAGGGCGUUUGGGCUGCCAGGAGGAGCAGGAACACAGUGCUUCUGUGGUCACCAUAGGUGACCUGAGUCAUUGCGGUCAGGAUUGUGGGGACACCUGCAGUGAAUGUGGGUUCAGGGCUCCCUCCUGCUCCAGCCGCUCUGAGCCACACUCCACUGAGACAAGGGCCUGCCCUUUGCUGGACCU
rnacentral:lncRNA from 1 species